UUCAUAUAUUGUUGAGUAUUGUGGAUACAUUCUUGUGGGGACAAAUAUACUUCAAGAAACUUGAAGGAAGGCUAAAGGAGUUCACAACAAAGGACAAUCGUCAAAAGGAGGCUCAACAUUUCCACAUAUGGAUUGAGGUUAGCUUCCACUCAUGUAGUUUAUAUAUCCGAAUUAUUCAAUAUGAAGGUUGUUCUCUUUAGUAGGAAUCAUAAUCCUAACAAUUGGUAUCAGAGCCACCUUCAUUUUUGGAUAAUUUGGAUGUUCAUAAGAUUCAUGUUAUGUUAGGGUUCAUGUUCAAGUUUUGUUAGAAUUUUAUUUAUGAAAUUCAAGUACC
rnacentral:lncRNA from 1 species